rnacentral:rRNA from 1 species
CCUACGGGAGGCAGCAGUGGGGAAUAUUGCGCAAUGGGGGGAACCCUGACGCAGCAACGCCGCGUGAAGGAAGAAGGUCUUCGGAUUGUAAACUUCUUUGAUGAGGGACGAAGUAAGUGACGGUACCUCAAAAACAAGCCACGGCUAACUACGUGCCAGCAGCCGCGGUAAUACGUAGGUGGCGAGCGUUGUCCGGAAUUACUGGGUGUAAAGGGCGUGUAGGCGGGGAUGCAAGUCAGAUGUGAAAUACCGAGGCUUAACCUCGGGGCUGCAUCUGAAACUGUGUUUCUUGAGUGUCGGAGAGGAAAGCGGAAUUCCUGGUGUAGCGGUGAAAUGCGUAGAGAUCAGGAGGAACACCGGUGGCGAAGGCGGCUUUCUGGACGACAACUGACGCUGAGGCGCGAAAGCGUGGGGAGCAAACAGGAUUAGAUACCCUUGUAGUC